GUCCGCUCCGUGGCCGCGCGCCCUGACCGCUGGGCUGCGCGCCGGAACGCGGAGCAGGGAAGCAGGAAGCGGCGGGCGCGGGGCGGCGGGGAUGGCGGGGCCCGGCUGGGGCCCCCCGCGGCUGGACGGCUUCAUCCUCACCGAGCGCUUGGGCAGCGGCACGUACGCCACAGUGUACAAGGCCUACGCCAAGAAGGACACUCGUGAGGUGGUAGCCAUAAAGUGCGUAGCCAAGAAGAGUCUGAACAAGGCAUCUGUGGAGAACCUCCUGACAGAGAUUGAGAUCCUCAAGGGCAUUCGACACCCCCACAUCGUACAGCUGAAAGACUUCCAGUGGGACAGCGACAACAUCUAUCUCAUCAUGGAGUUCUGCGCAGGGGGUGACCUGUCUCGCUUCAUCCAUACCCGCAGGAUUCUGCCUGAGAAGGUGGCCCGUGUCUUCAUGCAGCAGUUGGCUAGUGCCCUGCAGUUCCUGCAUGAACGGAGUAUCUCUCACCUGGAUCUGAAGCCACAGAACAUUCUGCUGAGCUCCUUGGAGAAGCCCCACCUUAAACUGGCAGACUUUGGUUUCGCACAGCACAUGUCUCCCUGGGACGAGAAGCAUGUGCUCCGUGGCUCCCCGCUCUACAUGGCCCCCGAGAUGGUGUGUCAGCGGCAGUACGACGCCCGUGUGGACCUCUGGUCCGUGGGGGUCAUCCUGUACGAAGCCCUCUUCGGGCAGCCCCCCUUUGCCUCCAGGUCAUUCACAGAGCUGGAGGAGAAGAUCCGGAGCAACCGGGUUAUCGAGCUCCCCCUGCGGCCGCCGCUCUCCCGAGACUGCAGGGACCUGCUGCAGCGGCUCCUGGAGCGGGACCCCAGCCGUCGCAUCUCCUUCGAGGACUUCUUCGCCCACCCCUGGGUGGACCUGGAGCACAUGCCCAGUGGGGAGAGCCUGGCCCGAGCAACCGCCCUGGUGGUGCAGGCUGUGAAGAAGGACCAGGACGGGGAUGCUGCGGCCGCUUUAUCUCUCUACUGCCAAGCCCUGGACUUCUUCGUGCCUGCCCUGCACUGUGAGUGCCCGGAGCCCCUGGGUGUAGCAGGGGUGGGGCGGCCUCAGCUGCGGUGGAUGGAUUCCAGAAGCAGCUCCCCACCCAGAAUUUUGUGGGAGACAAAGCAGAGGAUGAAGUGGAUGCCCAGCGGAAGGAGGCAAUUAAGGCAAAGAGAUGGCUCGAGACAAACCUCGCCUCCUUGCUGCCCUGGAAGUGGCUUCGGCUGCCACAGCCAAGGAGGAGGAAGCCGGCGGGGAGCAAGAUGCCCUGGGCCUGUACCAGCACGGCCUGGGGGAGCUGCUGGUGCUGCUGGCAGCGGAGCCCCCAGGCCGGAGGCGGGAGCUGCUUCACACCGAGGUUCAGAACCUUAUGGCUCGAGCUGAAUACCUGAAGGAGCAGGUCAAGAUGAGGGAGUCUCGCUGGGCCGCUGAGACCCUGGACAAAGAAGGACUGUCGGAGUCUGUUCGUAGCUCGUGCACCCUGCAGUGACCCCGGAGGGAUGACUGGACAGACCACAGCCACCCCUAAUUGGGGAUACACUCCCCUAGACUGAUGUCCAGAAUCCUGUGGCCCUGUGCAGUGCUACGGAGCAGGCAUCCUGGAUGGGCAACUCUGAGGACCCCCCCACAUCCCAGCAUCUCUAGCCCCCCCUCAGGAUCCUCUGCACUUCCCAGACGGUCUGAUGGCCCAUGUCGGUGUUGGAAGCACUGGGCCUUGGCCCCUGAGGGAAAGGAGCAGGACUCUGGGAGAAGAGUUUCCUUCGUGUGACUUUGGUUAUGUGGUGGUUGUUGGAUCUUGAGCCUGUCAGUUUGGGGGCAGGAGGCCUCUGGGUUUGCUCUGAGAACAGGGCAGGGGGCCCUCUGCAGGGCACUUCUGCUCUUGCCCCUUCCCUGUCAGCAGGCAGCUAUGCCCUGUGCCCACCCCUGUCCUUCCUGGGAACCCUUCCUGCAACUCCCCUCCCCCCUUGCACUGGAAUGGGGCACGUCAAGACCCCUCAGGGACCACCCACCCCACGGUGUGCACCCAGCCCCACAGAGCUUACCCGUUUUCCUGGGAGCUGACCCUCACCCACCCUCUGAAUAUUUUAAGAUAAUCCUUCAGACAUGAAAAUAAUGUACUUUGCAGGGGUGGGGCAAAUUUAAGAAAGCCAUGCCUUGUUCCUGCUCUGGCCCAGGGGGCACAAGGGGAGUGGUCUUCAGCCUUCAUCCUUCGCCCCUACUUGCCACAGAGCUGGUCCUGGCCUGGAGCGGGGAGGCAUGGGGGCUGCCGGACCUAUCAGGCUGAGGAGGAGCCAGCAAACCAGGAGACCUGGUUCUGGGUCUGACGUUGCAGCUCCCCCCGUGUGUGACCCUGGGCAAGUCCCUUCCCCUUUCUGGGCCUGAUCUCCCCAGCUCUCCAAUGGGGCUGUUAAUACCUCCUCAGCUCCCCACAUGGGCUUUUAAGAGGACAAAGUGACUUUAAUCUGGAGAAGAAUGUACACACAGUGGAGUUAUUUGGGGGUUCUUUUUAAAAAGUCCACAAGGGUGCUGGUGAUCUCUAACCUUUGUGCCCUUUAGUGCCUCCUUGGGACAAGAGGUGUCUUCCUUGCAGGAGGCUAGGUGUAAAGAAUGUAAUUCAUUGUUUAUUAAAUUAUUUUCUGAA